GGCCCUAUCGUCUAGCGGUUAGGACACCAGGUUCUCAUCCUGGCAACAGGGGUUCGAUUCCCCUUAGGGUCACCA
rnacentral:tRNA from 1 species